GCAUAUAUGGCUGAGUGGUCGAAAGCAGUGGACUCAUAAUCCAUUUUCCUUUUGGAACAACGUAGGUUCAAACCCUACUAUAUGCA
rnacentral:tRNA from 1 species